GACGAACGCUGGCGGCGUGCUUAACACAUGCAAGUCGAACGGUGAACUCCGCUUGCGGGGGGAUCAGUGGCGCACGGGUGCGUAACACGUGGGCAACCUGCCCUCAGCUCUGGGAUAACUCCAAGAAAUUGGGGCUAAUACCGGAUAUGACCGCUGACCGCAUGGUCUGGUGGUGGAAAGAUUUAUCGGCUGGGGAUGGGCCCGCGGCCUAUCAGCUUGUUGGUGGGGUAGUGGCCUACCAAGGCGACGACGGGUAGCCGGCCUGAGAGGGUGACCGGCCACACUGGGACUGAGACACGGCCCAGACUCCUACGGGAGGCAGCAGUGGGGAAUAUUGCGCAAUGGGCGAAAGCCUGACGCAGCGACGCCGCGUGGGGGAUGACGGCCUUCGGGUUGUAAACCUCUUUCAGCAGGGACGAAGCGAAAGUGACGGUACCUGCAGAAGAAGCACCGGCCAACUACGUG
rnacentral:rRNA from 1 species